CCCAUUUCGUGUUCGUUUUUCUUCACUCGGAGCCGUGCCUGUAAGUUGCAGGGUUGAUCGGUUAAUCAUGUUGAAGAUUCAAACACCGAAGUCGGGAAAAGGCAAACGGGAAGUCGAGAAGCGCGCGCCUAAGCUCGCAAGUUUGGCUAUUGGUUCAUCCAUGCGUUUGAUUCGUUGUUUGUUUCUCGGGAAAGUUUCGAGAUUUUAAGCAGUGAAAACUAGACUUGCAACCCUAGUGGAGAAGAUUGAAUCUCAUUCAAGCUGCCUUUUUUUGCUGAUUUAGACAUCUAAAAGGGAAGAAGGCCUCUGACCUGUAAAAGGGACUAUCUAGUUGAGAACAUUUAUCAUCAAGCAAGCAGGUGUUUUUCUUCAUCCUUCCUUUUUGUCUCGGUUGAUGAUAUCGAGGGUAAGAGUUAUCUGUGCUUUUGGUAUAUCUGAGUCUUGCCAUUCCCGUUACCAUGUAAGCCGAGAUAACGUUUCUUUCAUACCAAAAAAGUAUAUAUUUACACAGAAAUGUACAUACCAAUUUAGCAUCUGCUUAUAACUAGAGUUAGUAAAAAAUGCUACCUUACCACCUCCAUUCCAUUAAUAUCUAUGCUUCCUUAAGCCUUUUGGUGCAGGAAUAUGACCUUGGCUAAAGACUAGAGUGAAACCAAAUGCGAAAAAGAAACUCGUUGGAUUUGAAUGAAACAAAAUUCUGUUUUUUAUGCUCUCCAUCAAGAAUGCUCGGUAAUGUAUCUCUUACUGAAAGCUCUCUAGAUCCUAUUGUAUUUGAUCUCGGUGUUAAACGAAGUUUCUUUUAUUUUUAUGUUCUGCAUUUUUCUUCCAGCUUUGUAUUCCGUUUCUCUGUAGG